rnacentral:rRNA from 1 species
AUUGAACGCUGGCGGCAGGCCUAACACAUGCAAGUCGAACGAGUGGCGGACGGGUGAGUAAUGUAUGGGAACGUGCGUGAUGUAGGGGGAUAACUACUGGAAACGGUAGCUAAUACCGCAUACAGUGCGAUCUGGUGAGGGGGAAUUAGCUAGUUGGUGGGGUAAAGGCUCACCAAGGCGACGAUCCAUAGCUGGUCUGCGAGGAUGACCAGCCACACUGGAACUGAGACACGGUCCAGACUCCUACGUGAGGCAGCAGUGGGGAAUAUUGCACAAUGGGCGCAAGCCUGAUGCAGCCAUGCCGCGUGUAUGAAGAAGGCCUUCGGAUCGUAAAGUACUUUCGGCGGGGAAGCGGUACCUGCAGAAGAAGCACCGGCUAACUCCGUGCCAGCAGCCGCGGUAAUAC